CGACCGUCUGCGCCGGGUCCAGGCGCGUGGCGUUGGGGUCGCCGCCGGGAUCGAACCGCGUGGCGUUCGGAUCGCCGCCGCCGA
rnacentral:tRNA from 1 species